rnacentral:rRNA from 2 species
CUUAUAUUCUGUAGCAAGGUUAACCGUAUAGGGGAGCCGAAGGGAAACCGAGUCUUAACUGGGCGUUAAGUUGCAGGGUAUAGACCCGAAACCCGGUGAUCUAGCCAUGGGCAGGUUGAAGGUUGGGUAACACUAACUGGAGGACCGAACCGACUAAUGUUGAAAAAUUAGCGGAUGACUUGUGGCUGGGGGUGAAAGGCCAAUCAAACCGGGAGAUAGCUGGUUCUCCCCGAAAGCUAUUUAGGUAGCGCCUCGUGAACUCAUCUUCGGGGGUAGAGCACUGUUUCGGCUAGGGGGUCAUCCCGACUUACCAACCCGAUGCAAACUGCGAAUACCGAAGAAUGUUAUCACGGGAGACACACGGCGGGUGCUAACGUCCGUCGUGAAGAGGGAAACAACCCAGACCGCCAGCUAAGGUCCCAAAGUCACAGUUAAGUGGGAAACGAUGUGGGAAGGCUCAGACAGCCAGGAUGUUGGCUUAGAAGCAGCCAUCAUUUAAAGAAAGCGUAAUAGCUCACUGGUCGAGUCGGCCUGCGCGGAAGAUGUAACGGGGCUAAACUGUGCACCGAAGCUGCGGCAGCGACGCUUAUGCGUUGUUGGGUAGGGGAGCGUUCUGUAAGCCUGCGAAGGUGUCCUGUGAGGGAUGCUGGAGGUAUCAGAAGUGCGAAUGCUGACAUAAGUAACGAUAAUGCGGGUGAAAAGCCCGCUCGCCGGAAGACCAAGGGUUCCUGUCCAACGUUAAUCGGGGCAGGGUGAGUCGACCCCUAAGGCGAGGCCGAAAGGCGUAGUCGAUGGGAAACGGGUUAAUAUUCCCGUACUUGGUGUUACUGCGAAGGGGGGACGGAGAAGGCUAUGUUGGCCGGGCGACGGUUGUCCCGGUUUAAGCGUGUAGGCUGGUUUUCCAGGCAAAUCCG